AGUCGAACUUAACUGAACUUAACUGACUGAGCCACCCAGGCAGCCCAGCUUCUCUCAAAAGCAAAACCUGAGACAAAGGCUUUUGUGAUGGCAGGGAGAUGAUGGCAGGGAGCAGGGGUAAGGACUGAGGGAGUGAAUCGGGGAAAGAGGGACAGCUAACAGAAGGAUGCAUUACUGACCUGCUGGCACCUCCCGAGGGGCUUAUGAACUACAUCUCAGGACUGUCUGCUGGGGGACAAAGAGGGAAACAUUUUUCUAUCCACAAGCUCCCUCCUCCCCUAUCAAAACAAUAUGACAAUAAAUAUAUUUUCCAGUCAGCGUAUGUGUAUGUGGUAUACACAGUCCAUAACCACAUCAUCAUACAGAUGAACCACACUUACGUAUUCUAUUAAUGGAUAUUUACACUGGUUUUAUAUCAAGUUGUCAUAAACAUUGAAAGGGGCUCCCCCCCCCGCCCCGCUCUGGUCCCAGAACCAAGGAACUUUCAUCCCAUUUCAGGACUUUGGCACAUUGAAAAAAUAUAGCAAUAUUUCAUCUUGCCAAAACAUAACUAAUUCACACUAACCUAUUCAGAGCAAAAAUAGAAAAGAGGUAAAAAUAGCUUCUAAGUAGCCAAAUAGGUGUCAAAGAGUCACAAAUUCCAGCUGGAAUGGGCAGUCGUGUGUGCGAUGUCACUCCGGCUUGGGCUGAAAUCUCACGUACUUGUAAGAGACAGCUUUGUUAGCCUGUCCAAUCUCACUUUGCUUACAGUUCUAACUAGCUUGGUAUCCUAGUCACUAUUUCCACAAAUGACAAGGGGAAGGAAGCCACUCAAGGAAGCCACACUGCCAGCUCAAACCAGAAGGGGACCACAGACGGCAACAAAAACAACACAGCAGAAACAACAACCCAAAACCUUUUUUUUUUUUAAUGUCCCAAACAUGCAAAAGAAUACUGGUAUUUUACCGACUCUGUGGAACAGGAAAAGAACGGAGGUUCACAGCCAGAAAGAAUUGUCGCAAUCACGUUCGGAGUGCUCUUUCCAAGGCGUGGAAAUGAAGGAUUUGUUUUUUACUGUUGUAUCUUUUCACGCAGUAUUGAUUCAGUACCAUUGUUCUUGUUGCGCAAUAUUUUGGAGAGAUUUCCCAAUAUGUAGGUUUCGAAUGAUGAAAACGUUGAUUCUAAAAUCUCUAGGGAACAUCACUGUCCAAACAACUGGUUUCCAUGGAGUUUUAGCCGAGAAGUUUCAUCCAGCAAAUUGGUUGGGUAACCACAGAGAAUGAUUUCUCUGCCUCUCUGCACGAGGGGGUGAUGCUGACCAGACUUCGCCUGUAAACCAGGGCGGUGGUGCUCCAUUUCGUGAGUACGCAGGGACAGUCACCGGCCAUCCUUGCACAGUGAUGGGUUAAGUCAGCCACGAAGGUUUUCAAAGGUUAUUAGGGCUGGGCGGUGAGCAGAAGACUAUUUGAACAUCGGAAAGAGCACGCUGAUUCCUUUAGCAAUACUUUUGAACAGUCUUUUAAUGGCCUCCUUAGAAGUU